rnacentral:rRNA from 1 species
CCCUACGGGGUGCAGCAGGCAGAGAUGCCAUCGUGGAGAUCGCGCCUUUCACAGAGAAAAUGAACCGGUAGGAUGGAAGGACUGCUGCCUUUGUCUGUACUGGACAGACCUGCAGCCUUGCUGCCUUUAAUGCAGAGGAAAUGAUGCAGCUUUUGGAACAGCAAUCGAUUGAGCCGGUUCGCGCAAGAUCUGUCGUCUCCAGAGAUUUGCUCGAUCGCCCAUAAAACGGGAACACUAUCCGCAUAUGACAGAGCCGCACAGAUGACAUCCACAGGUCGACACUGAUAAAUACUACCAGCCAGCUAGUAAGCCUUGAGGAGAUCCAAAUUUCUGAGAAUGAAUUGGCGGGGGAGC